rnacentral:tRNA from 1 species
GCCUCCGGGCUGCUCUACCCUCGCUCUCCUAAAGCGGGUGCCGCAGGUUCGAAUCCUGCCGGGGGCA